AAAAAACUGCCAAAAGAUUUGACUGCUAAGUGCUAGUCCCUGUUCUCCUGCAUUCUUGUUGAACUUUUGAAAGUAAUGCAGCGGUUUGUUGGGGAGAAGAACGUCAACUAAAGUUGCUAGCUGGCUAACGUUAGCUCUCUGGCUAAUCCUCCAUGGACGUGUUUGAGAUUGAUGACCAACGAGUUAAUGUCCCACUUCAUUAUGAAGGGACAGAGGAGCAAACAUGCCUUUGCUACAACUUGAGUGCUCCAUUGUAAUUGUAAGUGCAAUGAAAAGCCAGAAAAAGUUGAUGUUGAUGUGUUUCGGGCCCUCUGGAAAGUUCUAAAAUAUGCCCCUAAUGCCGGGAUGGAUGAGGACGCAAAGUAUAUAUAUGAGCAAGUUGCUCUUUUUUGAAGACAUCUAAGCUACA